AUUGAACGCUGGCGGAAUGCCUUACACAUGCAAGUCGAACGGUAGAGGGGGCAACCCCUCGAGAGUGGCGAACGGGUGAGUAAUAUAUCGGAACGUGCCCAGUCGUGGGGGAUAACGUAGCGAAAGUUACGCUAAUACCGCAUACGAUCUAAGGAUGAAAGCGGGGGAUCGCAAGACCUCGCGCGAUUGGAGCGGCCGAUAUCAGAUUAGGUAGUUGGUGAGGUAAAGGCUCACCAAGCCGACGAUCUGUAGCUGGUCUGAGAGGGCGACCAGCCACACUGGGACUGAGACACGGCCCAGACUCCUACGGGAGGCAGCAGUGGGGAAUUUUGGACAAUGGGCGCAAGCCUGAUCCAGCCAUUCCGCGUGCAGGACGAAGGCCUUCGGGUUGUAAACUGCUUUUGUACGGAACGAAAAGGCUCUGGUUAAUACCUGGGGCUCAUGACGGUACCGUAAGAAUAAGCACCGGCUAACUACGUGCCAGCCGCCGCGGUAA
rnacentral:rRNA from 1 species